rnacentral:rRNA from 1 species
CAGCCGCCACGGUAAUACGAAGGGUGCAAGCGUUACUCGGAAUUACUGGGCGUAAAGCGUGCGUAGGUGGUGGUUUAAGUCCGUUGUGAAAUCCCCGGGCUCAACCUGGGAAUGGCAAUGGAUACUGGCAAGCUAGAGUGUGUCAGAGGAUGGUGGAAUUCCCGGUGUAGCGGUGAAAUGCGUAGAGAUCGGGAGGAACAUCAGUGGCGAAGGCGGCCAUCUGGGCCAAUACUGACGCUCAUGCACGAAAGCGUGGGGAGCAAACAGGAUUAGAUACCCCGGUAGUCCCUGUCUCUUAUAC